AGUCGUGGGGCAGCAGGUCUGUAGCAAUACAGAUGCUGGCGACCGGCAAACGGGUGCGGAACACGUACACAACCUUCCUUUAAGUGGGGAAUAGCCCAGGGAAACUUGGAUUAAUACCCCGUAAUAUAUAGAAGUGGCAUCACUUUUAUAUUAUAGCAGCAAUGCGCUUGAAGAUGGGUGUGCGGCUGAUUAGAUAGUUGGCGGGGUAACGGCCCACCAAGUCGACGAUCAGUAACUGGUGUGAGAGCACGACCAGUCACACGGGCACUGAGACACGGGCCCGACUCCUACGGGAGGCAGCAGUAAGGAAUAUUGGUCAAUGGACGCAAGUCUGAACCAGCCAUGCCGCGUGGAGGAUGAAGGUCCUCUGGAUUGUAAACUUCUUUUAUUUGGGAAGAAACCCAUCUUUUCUUGGAUGGCUGACGGUACCAGAUGAAUAAGCACCGGCUAACUCCGUGCCAGCAGCCGCGGUAAUACGGAGGGUGCAAGCGUUAUCCGGAUUCACUGGGUUUAAAGGGUGCGUAGGUGGGCAAGUAAGUCAGUGGUGAAAUCUCCGGGCUUAACCCGGAAACUGCCAUUGAUACUAUUUGUCUUGAAUACUGUGGAGGUCAGCGGAAUAUGUCAUGUAGCGGUGAAAUGCUUAGAUAUGACAUAGAACACCAAUUGCGAAGGCAGCUGGCUACACAAAUAUUGACACUGAGGCACGAAAGCGUGGGGAUCAAACAGGAUUAGAUACCCUGGUAGUCCACGCCCUAAACUAUGGAUACUCGACAUUUGCGAUAAACUGCAAGUGUCUGAGCGAAAGCAUUAAGUAU
rnacentral:rRNA from 1 species